UGGGGAAUCUUGCACAAUGGGCGAAAGCCUGAUGCAGCAACGCCGCGUGCGGGAAGAAGGCCUUAGGGUUGUAAAGCUCUUUUACCCGGGAUGAUAAUGACAGUACCGGGAGAAUAAGCCCCGGCUAACUCCGUGCCAGCAGCCGCGGUAAUACGGAGGGGGCUAGCGUUGUUCGGAAUUACUGGGCGUAAAGCGCGCGUAGGCGGCUUUGUAAGUUAGAGGUGAAAGCCCGGAGCUUAACUCCGGAACUGCCUUUAAGACUGCAUCGCUAGAAUCGUGGAGAGGUGAGUGGAAUUCCGAGUGUAGAGGUGAAAUUCGUAGAUAUUCGGAAGAACACCAGUGGCGAAGGCGACUCACUGGACACGUAUUGACGCUGAGGUGCGAAAGCGUGGGGAGCAAA
rnacentral:rRNA from 1 species